rnacentral:lncRNA from 1 species
CUCAGUGGCACUGUGCCUGCCUUGCAAGUGGAAGGUCCUGAGUCCGAUCUCCAGUACCAAAAAAAAAAAAAAGAAUGUAUCACUGGUUCUCAAAUGGGGACAAUGGGGACAGUUUUCUCCCACCUUCAGGAGAGAACAUUUGUUUGGAGAUGUCAUUGUUUGUCAGAGUGGGGACACACACACACACACACACACACGCACACACACACAAUCACUCACACACCCCUCAUGGGUACAGAGAGGCCAGGGAUGCUGCUAAACAUCUUACAUACACAGGAAAGCCCCCACAACAAAGAAUUAUUCAUUCUAAAGUGUUAAUAAUGUGGAGGCCAGGAAAGCCUAGAGGCAGACAGUGCCCAGCACAGGGUUGUUCAAGAGAAGCUUGUGGGUGUGUGCCUAUCUGGUAUGAUGGGAAGUGGCUUGAAGCUUUUUUAUACCAGAGUAGAUAACAGUUUCCCUCUUAAAAAAUAGGAUGGCUGCUGAAGUUUGGGAGUGGAUGGGUAGUGGGAUAGAGAUGCUUCACAUGCAAUUGUAUACUAUUGAGAAAUUAAGGAUGUAGAAAACACUCCAGAAUUUAUGAGAUAUAGCCCAGCUAUUCUAAAAGCAAAUGCCAGGAUUAAAUGCUUUAUCAUUAAACUAGAAAUAAGGAAAUUUAACUCGGCAAGCUGGAAACAGAAGAAGGAACACAAAGAACGAGAUAACAAAAGAUUAAAAAAAAAGAGGCGAAAUUAAGAUAAAAGCAAAAAUUAAUGAAUUAGAAAACAAAAUCUAUAACUUGAAUAAAUGCAUUUAAGACAAUAAAAUAGACAAUUUUGCAAACUUAGGACAAUAAAUAGAAUUAGAUACAAGUGGAUCUAGAAAUGGAACAAAAACAUUGAGAACGAAACUGGUGGAAACUGUGUGGGGGUGCUGUGGGCAUGGGUGACAGACUUGGCAGUUUGUUGUUUAUUUAACACCUAUUUACUGCUGUGUUCCAGCUACUGCUCUAAGCACUGAGCAUAGUGCACUGAACAGACAAAAAUUAGUGUCUACAGAGCACUCCAUUCUGAGCUCUAGUGAGCCAUCAGUUCAGCUGAGGCCCAAGUCUGGCCCAAGUACUUGGAUCCCAAAAUGUUUGUUGAAUGGCCAGGAAAAUACUGAGGCUUAGGUGAUGAGAGGAAUUUAAACUUCUAGAAAGCCUAAAUCCAGAGGAAAAAGAGGAACUCACUCUGUAAGAAAAUUAAUAUUUGUUUUGAGACAGGGUCUUGCUGUGUUGCCCAGGCUGGUCUCAAACUCCUGGGCCCAAGUGAUCCUCCCACCUCAGGCUCCUGAGUUCUGGGACUCCAGGCUCAUGCCACAGCACAUAGCUAGAAACUCUCCCACCCUGGCCAGCCUGAGGUACUGGGGGAUUGAACCCAAGGUGUUCAUACUGAGCCACCUUUCCCAGUUCCUCCCCCAGCCUUUUUUGAAACAGAGCCUCUCUAAGUCACUAAGUUGCGCAGGCUGGGCUUGAACUUACAAUCCUCCUGCCUCAGGCUUGCAGAGUGUUGGGAUUACUGGUGUGUGAAGGUUAUUAUUUCUGAAGGACCCAGGGAGCCAACCUGUUAUCUCACCAAGCAUUGAUGCAUCUGAAGUGCUGUGAGACUGACUGACCAGCACUCAAUUACCCAAUGUCUGAGAAAUAAAGACUCCUUCCUCUCCUUCUCUGUCCCUAUCCCAGACCUGCAGGUCAAAAGGAAAGAAACUCCUUCCAGGAACUGGAGCCAUUGUCAGCACAGACACUUAGGAGGUCGUCUUUGUGACCACACGACUCUCCAUGGAGGCCACUCUUGGCUGCCCCCCAGCCUUUGUCUUCUAGGCCAGUGGCAGCUUUUAUGACUGGUGGGCUGCUCAGAGUUUCUGCAGAAAUAUUCUGUGGCCAGUUGCAAAGCACCAUGGAGAGCAGCUUCCCUGGCUUCUGUGUGGGAUUUGCCUUCACAAGAGAGGAGCAAGAAAGAGCUCAGUGGAUUGAUGAGAAGGCAUUUUUAACAGAUCACCUCUGCCUUUGUUAACAGUGGCAGACAUGUCCUGCUCAUCUUGUGCUUGGCAUCCAUGAACUCAAUCAAUCCUCACAGCUCCAUGAGGCAGAUUCCGCUGUCAUCCCAUUUUACAGAGAACACGACUGAAGUGAGUGGUGAUUGUGGAUUAAGGACAACUGUGAGACUUGACUAGUUGAAUUUGAAUAAAAGAACCCUUUUGUGGCUCCUGCUGAGAUCUCUGGGCCUAGAGGCUGAGCUACUUGAGCAAACUUUAUUCCUCAGGAGGACAUGGAGGAGCUGGUGAGAUGGCCCAGGACACGGGCACAUAGCUGCUGUUUUACGCCCAGGCCCACGGUUAGCAGGAAGAGGAUGUUUCUCUGAAGGAGGCCUCCAACAGCCAAGAUGGGAGGGUGUAGAUGGGGUGAGGGUUGCAGAAGGAGUGGGUGUAAUUUGUUGGGCAAAACCAACUUUGCACUAGAAGCAGGAAGAAACACUUACCGGUUUAUUAAUUAUAGGAUGCUUAGGACUGGAUUUGCCUUUGAAUGUGGGGGAAACAACCCAUGGCUUAAACAAACAGCUCCAAAAAACCCCCAAAAGACAAAAAAACAGCUCCAUCAUUCAACAAUAAUUAGCAGCAACAAUAGGCAUCUUCUUACAACUAGAUUGACAAGUGGCCCACAACACACAGCCCCAAGCCUGGCCCGGAACUGGGCCUCGAUGCCACACCUGUAGGACCAGCCAGCCCACAGUGUGAGCAGGGGCACAGAAGUGACAUGUUCUUUCUUAGGGUAUUUGUUGAGAACUUGCUCUGUACUGGGUUCUGAGAGGAGCACAAAGGAAAGUGAGAAAAACAUAAGAGAAAUGGGAUAUUACCCAGAAUCCAACGAACUGGGGAGACAAGGUUAAGCCUGAAAAGUUAACGGUAGCACAGAAAAAUACAUGUCACAAAUACAGUGGAUGCACAGAGCCAAAUGGACUUAUGGUGGAGAUUCCACACCAGAAGGUGAGAAGAGGGAUGGAGCCGCGGGGUCAGCAUUGCCAGUGAGAUUUCAGCCAGCACACACUGCAACACUUCUAGUAGAACAAGUAGGAGGUCUGGGGAUGAAGGCCAGUGGCAGAGCACUUGCCUAGCAUCCAUAAGGCCCUGGGUUUUAUCCCCAGCACCACACACACACACACACACACACACACAAAUAAGAAACACAAAGAAGAAAAUAAAAAAUCAUGUCAAAGGUGUGUAUUGUUACUAUUUAGGUUGUAUCCUUUAAGUUUUUUUCCUAUGCAUAGGUGUAUACAUAUUCAUGUGCACAUACAUUUUUUACAUAAAUGUGUUCGUAC